rnacentral:rRNA from 1 species
AACGAACGCUGGCGGCAUGCCUAACACAUGCAAGUCGAACGAGACCUUCGGGUCUAGUGGCGCACGGGUGCGUAACGCGUGGGAACCUGCCCUUAGGUUCGGAAUAACUCCCCGAAAGGGGUGCUAAUACCGGAUAAUGUCUUCGCACCAAAGAUUUAUCGCCUUUGGAUGGGCCCGCGUUGGAUUCGCUAGUUGGUAGGGUAAAAGCCUACCAAGGCGACGAUCCAUAGCUGGUCGGAGAGGAGGAUCAGCCACACUGGGACUGAGACACGGCCCAGACUCCUACGGGAGGCAGCAGUGGGGAAUAUUGGACAAUGGGCGAAAGCCUGAUCCAGCAAUGCCGCGUGAGAGAUGAAGGCCGUAGGGUUGUAAAGCUCUUUUACCCGGGAUGAUAAUGACAGUACCGGGAGAAUAAGCACCGGCUAACUCCGUG